rnacentral:rRNA from 1 species
CUUUACUCCUACCCGGAGGCAGCAGUGGGGAAUAUUGCACAAUGGGCGCAAGCCUGAUGCAGCGACGCCGCGUGAGGGAUGACGGCCUUCGGGUUGUAAACCUCUUUCAGUAGGGAAGAAGCGUAAGUGACGGUACCUGCAGAAGAAGCGCCGGCUAACUACGUGCCAGCAGCCGCGGUAAUACGUAGGGCGCAAGCGUUAUCCGGAAUUAUUGGGCGUAAAGAGCUCGUAGGCGGUUUGUCGCGUCUGCCGUGAAAGUCCGGGGCUCAACUCCGGAUCUGCGGUGGGUACGGGCAGACUAGAGUGAUGUAGGGGAGACUGGAAUUCCUGGUGUAGCGGUGAAAUGCGCAGAUAUCAGGAGGAACACCGAUGGCGAAGGCAGGUCUCUGGGCAUUAACUGACGCUGAGGAGCGAAAGCAUGGGGAGCGAACAGGAUUAGAUACCCUGGUAGUCCAUGCCGUAAACGUUGGGCACUAGGUGUGGGGGACAUUCCACGUUUUCCGCGCCGUAGCUAACGCAUUAAGUGCCCCGCCUGGGGAGUACGGCCGCAAGGCUAAAACUCAAAGGAAUUGACGGGGGCCCGCACAAGCGGCGGAGCAUGCGGAUUAAUUCGAUGCAACGCGAAGAACCUUACCAAGGCUUGACAUGGACCGGACCGCCGCAGAAAUGUGUUUCCCCCCUGU